AAUAUGGGACAAUGGUUGAGAGCGUGAUCCAGCCAUCCCGCGUGCAGGAAUAUUGACNNNUGUGUNGNAAACUGCUUUUAUACNGGNNUAAACCACUUUAAGUGUCAGGUGUUGAAGGUACUGUAUGAAUAAGCAUCGGCUUACCUAGUGCUCGCAGCCGCAGUAAUACGUAGGAUGCAAGCGUUAUCCAUAUUUAUGGGGUUUAAAGGGUCCGUAGGCGUGCAUAUAAGUCAGAGGUGAAAUCCGACAGCUUAACUGUCGAACUGCCUUUGAAACUGUAUGUCUUGAGUGAGAUUGAAGCAGCUGGAAUGUGUAGUGUAGCGGUGAAAUGCAUAGAUAUUACACAGAACACCGAUAGCGUAGGCAGGUUGCUAAGUCUUUACUGACGCUGAUGGACGUAAGCGUGGGGAGCAAACA
rnacentral:rRNA from 1 species